UACGUAGGUGGCAAGCGUUAUCCGGAUUUACUGGGCGUAAAGGGAGCGUAGGCGGCCUGCCAAGUCUGAUGUGAAAUACCGGGGCUCAACCCCGGGGCUGCAUUGGGAACUGGCGCGCUGGAGUGCCGGAGGGGUAGGCGGAAUUCCUAGUGUAGCGGUGAAAUGCGUAGAUAUUAGGAGGAACACCAGUGGCGAAGGCGGCCUACUGGACGGUGACUGACGCUGAAGCACGAAAGCGUGGGGAUCAAACAGG
rnacentral:rRNA from 1 species